rnacentral:rRNA from 1 species
GAUGAACGCUGGCGGCGUGCCUAAUACAUGCAAGUCGAGCGAACAGACGAGGAGCUUGCUCCUUCGACGUUAACGGCGGACGGGUGAGUAACACGUAGGUAACCUACCUAUAAGACUGGGAUAACUUCGGGAAACCGGAGCUAAUACCGGAUAAUAUUUCGAACCGCAUGGUUCGAUAGUGAAAGAUGGCUUUGCUAUCACUUAUAGAUGGACCUGCGCCGUAUUAGAUAGUUGGUAAGGUAACGGCUUACCAAGGCAACGAAACGUAGCGGACCUAAGAGGGUGAUCGGCCACACUGGAAGUGAGACACGGUCCAGACUCCUACGCGAGGCAACAGUAGGGAAUCUUACGCGAGGGGCGAAAGCCUGACGGAGCAACGCCGCGUGAGUGAUGAAGGUCUUCGGAUCGUAAAACUCUGUUAUUAGGGAAGAACAAACGUGUAAGUAACUGUGCACGUCUUGACGGUACCUAACCAGAAAGCCACGGCUAACUACGUG